rnacentral:rRNA from 1 species
CCUUUGCAAACUCCGAAUACCAGUAAGUACUAUCCGGGAGACACACGGCGGGUGCUAACGUCCGUCGUGAAGAGGGAAACAACCCAGACCGCCAGCUAAGGUCCCAAAGUUAUAGCUAAGUGGGAAACGAUGUGGGAAGGCUCAGACAGCCAGGAUGUUGGCUUAGAAGCAGCCAUCAUUUAAAGAAAGCGUAAUAGCUCACUGGUCGAGUCGGCCUGCGCGGAAGAUUUAACGGGGCUAAGCUAUACACCGAAGCUGCGGCAAUGAAGUUUUACUUCAUUGGGUAGGGGAGCGUUCUGUAAGCCGUUGAAGGUGAAUCGUAAGGUUUGCUGGAGGUAUCAGAAGUGCGAAUGCUGACAUGAGUAACGAUAAAGGGAGUGAAAAACUCCCUCGCCGGAAGAUCAAGGGUUCCUGUCCAACGUUAAUCGGGGCAGGGUAAGUCGACCCCUAAGGCGAGGCCGAAAGGCGUAGUCGAUGGGAAACGGGUUAAUAUUCCCGUACUUCUUAUAAUUGCGAUGGAGGGACGGAGAAGGCUAGGUGAGCCUGGCGACGGUUGUCCAGGUCCAAGUAUGUAGGCUGAUGGUUUAGGCAAAUCCGGACCAUCUUAAGGCUGAGAUACGAUGUCGAGUCACUACGGUGACGAAGUCAUUGAUGCCAUGCUUCCGGGAAAAGCUUCUAAGCUUCAG